AAGCCUCCUCGGGACCCUGACUGCAGGGUCCAGAGAAAGCCUGAGCCACGGGGAAGGUUCAGAGAUGCCCUCCUCCCCGGCACGUGUCCUGAUCUUUGUGGGUCAGCGGCAGCUACCUUUUCCUCUGCCUAAUGAAUGAGAUCCAGGCUGCUGCCUGGCCCCUGGGAAAUCCCAUGACAGAAAAGAAAUGAUAGCGGGGCCUGAGGGGAGCAGGAGCAGGAAGCAGGGAGGCUGGCACAGGGACAGCGUGCCCAGGAACACCCAGGCCCAGCUUCCCUCCCUCCCUUCCUCCCUCCCUCACAUGAGGAAAAAGCCUUGUCAUCGAUCCCUAGACUCCCGGCUCAGCCUCUCCCUCCUCUCCGGCAUCGACGGGGAGCCCUGGACCACGCAUCAGUCAGGAGCCUUCCCUCUCAGGGCUGUCUGGCCACUUGACCUUGACCAAGGCACUCCCCCCGGGCCCUGUCCCUCAGAAGAAACCAGAGAGCGGUUCGGUUCUUCCAAUCCACCUUCUGGAACCCUAGAAGGCUCCAGUCAGGAGGAACCGGCUCCCCAUCAUUUUAUGGAGGAGACCACUAAAGGGCAGGCAAGGAAGGAGGGCUUCCUGUCCUAUCCCAGCCUUGUGGGUGAAUAUUUGCCAUUCUGA
rnacentral:lncRNA from 1 species